rnacentral:rRNA from 1 species
CCUACGGGCGGCUGCAGUGGGGAAUAUUGGACAAUGGGCGAAAGCCUGAUCCAGCCAUGCCGCGUGUGUGAAGAAGGCCUUCGGGUUGUAAAGCACUUUCAGUGGGGAAGAAAGCCUUGGGGCUAAUACCCUCGAGGAAGGACAUCACCCACAGAAGAAGCACCGGCUAACUCCGUGCCAGCAGCCGCGGUAAUACGGAGGGUGCGAGCGUUAAUCGGAAUUACUGGGCGUAAAGCGCGCGUAGGCGGUCUGAUAAGCCGGUUGUGAAAGCCCCGGGCUCAACCUGGGAACGGCAUCCGGAACUGUCAGGCUAGAGUGCAGGAGAGGAAGGUAGAAUUCCCGGUGUAGCGGUGAAAUGCGUAGAGAUCGGGAGGAAUACCAGUGGCGAAGGCGGCCUUCUGGACUGACACUGACGCUGAGGUGCGAAAGCGUGGGUAGCAAACAGGAUUAGAUACCCCAGUAGU